rnacentral:rRNA from 1 species
CUUGGUCAUUUAGAGGAAGUAAAAGUCGUAACAAGGUUUCCGUAGGUGAACCUGCGGAAGGAUCAUUACAGAAAGUAAACGCGGAUCGAACCGCGAACUUCUAAACCUUUGACGAUUGACUCAUGUUGCCUCGGCGGGUUCUCCCGCCAGAGGAUACAUCAAAACUCCUGUUUUAACGGUGUUGUCUGAGCUACAAGCAACGAAUCAAAACUUUCAACAACGGAUCUCUUGGUUCUGGCAUCGAUGAAGAACGCAGCGAAAUGCGAUAAGUAGUGUGAAUUGCAGAAUUCAGUGAAUCAUCGAAUCUUUGAACGCACAUUGCGCCCCUUGGUAUCCCGAGGGGCAUGCCUGUUCGAGCGUCAUUUCACCACUCAAGCCUGGCUUGGUGUUGGGCGACGUCCCCUUUGGGGACGCGCCUCGAAACGCUCGGCGGCGUGGCACCGGCUUUAAGCGUAGCAGAAUCUUUCGCUUUAAAAGUCGGGGCCCCGUCUGCCGGAAGACCUACUCGCAAGGUUGACCUCGGAUCAGGCAGGGAUACCCGCUGAACUUAAGCAUAUCAAUAAGCGGAGGAAAAGAAACCAACCAAUC